rnacentral:rRNA from 1 species
GAUGAACGCUGGCGGCGUGCCUAAUACAUGCAAGUCGAGCGAACGGACGAGAAGCUUGCUUCUCUGAUGUUAGCGGCGGACGGGUGAGUAACACGUGGAUAACCUACCUAUAAGACUGGGAUAACUUCGGGAAACCGGAGCUAAUACCGGAUAAUAUUUUGAACCGCAUGGUUCAAAAGUAAAAGACGGUCUUGCUGUCACUUAUAGAUGGAUCCGCGCUGCAUUAGCUAGUUGGUAAGGUAACGGCUUACCAAGGCAACGAUGCAUAGCCGACCUGAGAGGGUGAUCGGCCACACUGGAACUGAGACACGGUCCAGACUCCUACGGGAGGCAGCAGUUGGGAAUCUUCCGCAAUGGGCGAAAGCCUGACGGAGCAACGCCGCGUGAGUGAUGAAGGUCUUCGGAUCGUAAAACUCUGUUAUUAGGGAAGAACAUAUGUGUAAGUAACUGUGCACAUCUUGACGGUACCUAAUCAGAAAGCCACGGCUAACUACGUG